CAGCCUGAAAUAAUUAUGUUUUAAGUUUAAUUAUGUUUGUGUUUCUUUUCUGACAUUUUUUUCUGGAGGUAGUUUUUGCCUUACUGACCUGAUUAGGCUA